GACUGCUCCAGUGGCUAAGUGGUUAGAGUGUCUGCCUCAGAUUCAGGAGGUCAUGGGUUUGAACCCCAGACGAGUCA